rnacentral:rRNA from 1 species
UACGAAGGGGGGCUAGCGUUGUUCGGAAUUACUGGGCGUAAAGCGCACGUAGGCGGAUACUUAAGUCAGGGGUGAAAUCCCGGGGCUCAACCCCGGAACUGCCUUUGAUACUGGGUAUCUCGAGUCCGGAAGAGGUGAGUGGAAUUCCGAGUGUAGAGGUGAAAUUCGUAGAUAUUCGGAGGAACACCGGUGGCGAAGGCGGCAUCCUGGACCGGCAUUGACGCUGAGGAGCGAAAGCCAGGGGAGCAAAGCGGG